rnacentral:lncRNA from 1 species
CAUACCAUCAACAACAUCUUUCUACGGCAGAAUCAGAAACACCAAACUGGAGCCUCUAUAUACUUGUGUCUCUUAAAAUAGUCAUUAUCUUUUCCGAUAUUGACAAAUAAUCUAUUGAGACUAUCACUUGCUACAAGCAGAAACAGAAGUUGAGCCAAAUAUCACCUUAAAUUAGCUUUUCCGGACCAUAUAAGUUUUCUUAAUUUCAAAAUUAGUAAUAAUUUUCUAUAAGUCCAAUUAUCUUAAUUCUUUUUU